UACAUGGGGUGCAAACGUUGCUCGGAAUUAUUGGGCGUAAAGCGCGCGUAGGCGGGUCUUUAAGUCAGGGGUGAAAUCCUGGAGCUCAACUCCAGAACUGCCUUUGAUACUGAAGAUCUUGAGUUCGGGAGAGGUGAGUGGAACUGCGAGUGUAGAGGUGAAAUUCGUAGAUAUUCGCAAGAACACCAGUGGCGAAGGCGGCUCACUGGCCCGAUACUGACGCUGAGGCACGAAAGCGUGGGGAGCAAACAGG
rnacentral:rRNA from 1 species